rnacentral:misc_RNA from 1 species
GAUGAAGAACGCAGUGAAAUGAGAUAAGUAAUGUGAAUUGCAGAAUUCAGUGAAUCAUCGAAUCUUUGAACGCACCUUGCGCUCUUUGGUAUUCCGAAGAGCAUGCCUGUUUGAGUGUCAUGAAAAUAUCAACCUUGACUUGGGUUUUGUGCUCUAGUCUCGGCUUGGAAUUGGGUGCUUGCCGCUUUUACGAGCGGCUCACCUUAAAUGUAUUAGCUGGAUCUGUCUUUGAGACUUGGUUUGACUUGGCGUAAUAAGUAUUUCGCUAAGGACAUUCUUCGGAGUGGCCUCGUUUCUAGGACGCUUGUCCGCUUUCCAAUACAAGUUCCACCUCGUGGACAUGACUUUUUAUUAUCUGGCCUCAAAUCAGGUAGGACUACCCGCUGAACUUAAGCAUAUCAAUAAGCGGAGGA